UGUGGAACAGUCUUCGUUCAAGCUACAGUA
rnacentral:piRNA from 1 species